GGAAAGAGUCUGCUAAGAAUUUUACCAAAUCCCUAAUAGUGCAGCCCUUGUUAUCUAGCCAUAACCUGUUUGUGGGACUUUCAUGUAACUACAAAACUAGAAAGCCCUGCAUAAGACUUUGGAUAAAUAGCUUCAGGUGAGACCAAUCCUCCAAAUCUGUUCACAAAGAGAUUCCCAAAUACACCUGCCAUCAACAAACAGCUGUUUAUGGUAUUUUAAAUGUGUUCAUCACAGACUUGAACAUAAGCGAUAAUUACAACUAAUGGGACUGCAAUUAUAGCAAAUUAAAAGAAAACAGAAAAAAAGUUGCACCCAUAGAAUUUGGAGAAAGAAGUUCUAAUCACCACGAUUAACAGAACCUUUAUUGUGACCACUGCCAUAAGUAAUGGCAAAAAUUAAACUGAAAAAGAGGGCAAACGCACAGUGGUUCAGCGCAUCUAUACACACAAGACCCAGAAAACCAAAAGGAGAAUUGGCAAUGUUUGGAAAUCAGUUUGGUUAUAUAAAUGCUGAAUGACACAUGCGGCAAUAAAGCAGUCAGACCAAGAUGCAAGCACCUCCUCGAAGGAUUUGACAAUUCCAAUAAAUGAUGAUAAAUGGCGGUGCUGAAUAGCAAGUCCCAAAGCUGCCACUGCUUCUUUCAAAGGCAUAUAUUUUAAGAACAAUGUUCUCUGUAUUCCAUAUUCAAAUAGAUAUUUUGACUGAGUGCCAUUCUAUGCAUGCCUGGG
rnacentral:lncRNA from 11 species